UGGAGAAGGAGCAGGCGCUGGCGG
rnacentral:piRNA from 1 species